rnacentral:rRNA from 1 species
AACGAACGCUGGCGGCGUGCCUAAGACAUGCAAGUCGUACGGAAAGGCCCCCUUCGGGGGGCACUCGAGUGGCGCACGGGUGAGUAACGCGUGGGUAAUCUGCCUUAGGGUCUAGGACAACCCCGGGAAACUGGGGCUAAUACUGGAUAAGACCACGAGCUCUUCGGAGCUUGCGGAAAAAGAUGGCCUCUCCUUGGAAGCUAUCGCCCUUCGAUGAGCCCGCGUCCCAUUAGCUAGUUGGUGAGGUGACGGUUCACCAAGGCUUUGAUGGGUAGCUGGUCUGAGAGGAUGAUCAGCCACACUGGAACUGAGACACGGUCCAGACUCCUACGGGAGGCAGCAGUCGGGAAUUUUGGGCAAUGGGCGAAAGCCUGACCCAGCAACGCCGCGUGAGGGAUGAAGGCCCUCGGGUCGUAAACCUCUGUCGGGAGGGAAGAACGGUUGCCGUUCGAACAGGACGGGGGCCCGACGGUACCUCCAAAGGAAGCACCGGCUAACCCCGUGCCAGCAGCCGCGGUAAUACGGAGGGUGC